rnacentral:rRNA from 1 species
GCAGCAGUGAGGAAUAUUGGUCAAUGGGCGGGAGCCUGAACCAGCCAAGUAGCGUGAAGGACGACGGCCCUACGGGUUGUAAACUUCUUUUAUAAGGGAAUAAAGUUCGCCACGUGUGGUGUUUUGUAUGUACCUUAUGAAUAAGCAUCGGCUAAUUCCGUGCCAGCAGCCGCGGUAAUACGGAAGAUCCGAGCGUUAUCCGGAUUUAUUGGGUUUAAAGGGAGCGUAGGCGGGCUUUUAAGUCAGCGGUCAAAUGUCGUGGCUCAACCGUCAAGCCGUUGAAACUGUAAGCCUUGAGUCUGCACAGGGCACAUGGAAUUCGUGGUGUAGCGGUGAAAUGCUUAGAUAUCACGAAGAACUCCGAUCGCGAAGGCAUUGUGCCGGGGCAUAACUGACGCUGAGGCUCGAAAGUGCGGGUAUCAAACAGGAUUAGAUACCCUGGUAGUCCGCACGGUAAACGAUGAAUGCUCGCUAUGGGCGAUAUAUUGUCCGUGGCCAAGCGAAAGCGUUAAGCAUUCCACCUGGGGAGUACGCCGGCAACGGUGAAACUCAAAGGAAUUGACGGGGGCCCGCACAAGCGGAGGAACAUGUGGUUUAAUUCGAUGAUACGCGAGGAACCUUACCCGGGCUUGAAUUGCAGGUGCAUGAGUCAGAGACGGCUCUUUCUUCGGGACUCCUGUGAAGGUGCUGCAUGGUUGUCGUCAGCUCGUGCCGUGAGGUGUCGGCUUAAGUGCCAUAACGAGCGCAACCCUUCUCCCCAGUUGCCAUCGGGUAAUGCUGGGCCCUCUGGGGAGACUGCCAUCGUAAGAUGCGAGGAAGGUGGGGAUGACGUCAAAUCAGCACGG